GACGAACGCUGGCGGCGUGCCUAAUACAUGCAAGUAGAACGCUGAAGGAGGAGCUUGCUUCUCUGGAUGAGUUGCGAACGGGUGAGUAACGCGUAGGUAACCUGCCUGGUAGCGGGGGAUAACUAUUGGAAACGAUAGCUAAUACCGCAUAAUAGUAGAUGUCGCAUGACAUUUGCUUAAAAGGUGCAAUUGCAUCACUACCAGAUGGACCUGCGUUGUAUUAGCUAGUUGGUGAGGUAACGGCUCACCAAGGCAACGAUACAUAGCCGACCUGAGAGGGGGAGCGGCCACACUGGGACUGAGACACGGCCCAGACUGCUACGGGAGGCAGCAGUAGGGAAUCUUCGGCAAUGGACGGAAGUCUGACCGAGCAACGCCGCGUGAGUGAAGAAGGUUGUCGGAUCGUAAAGCUCUGUUGUAAGAGAAGAACGAGUGUGAGAGUGGAAAGUUCACACUGUGACGGUAUCUUACCAGAAAGGGACGGCUAACUACGUG
rnacentral:rRNA from 1 species